CAGAGUGCUGAUGUCGGUGCGUCGGGAACCAAUCUGGUGCCAAGCUCCGCCUCUUCCGCGACGACCAAUCGCGUCGAGGGAACGGCCGGCGUGGACACGCCUCCCCCCGGCGCAUUUCGACAGAAUGGAAAACUGUUUCCGGUUGCUUUCGUCGUGUUGGUUGGGGGAAACCAACAGGGACGUGUGCCAAAUGACAUUCUUAAACAUCAAUUUGCUGCUCUCAUUCCUUGAGUGAAAGCCAAUCAGAGAAGGUUGUCAAGAAAUAUCGUGUUCACGUGACAGUGAUCCCUCAGGCGGCUUGACCGAAAGCCACGGCCCUAAUCGGGGGAGAUUUGGACCGUUUCGCUCUGCCGCUAAAGGAGGACUUAAUUGUCGCAGGGCCGUCGGUGCCAAAACCCAACAACAACAACAACAACAGGCUCCGACAGCACCUCAAGAAGCCACCUUCAGCUCGCAGAACUGGACGUAUUGCUUUGUUUUGUUUUUAAAAGUGUAACUUUUUGUGACGUAUCUGCCCUCCCGGUGUGCUCUUGCGAGGCUCGGGGAUAACGUUCAUCGCGAGGCCUCGCGCACGCGCUCUGGCCUUGACUUUCCCAACCGGAGGAAGAAAAAUGUAAAUAAAAAAAUAAUAAUAAUCCAUGUGCAUCAGUGUAGCUCCACGUUUCACUCGUGUGUUUGUCUGCGCCUCUCGGGAAGUUCAUGAACUCGCUCACUCUGGUCACGUGACUGGGGAGAACACAACAAUGCAGCUUUAUCAUGAGCAGAUUGGGAUCCGUGGUUGGAUUUGGCCCUAAUAGCGGUUACUAAUGCAGAAGUGGGGGCGCCGGGGGGAGCAAUUGGACUUCAAAUCAGAUUCAGCAUAUAAAUCACAGACUUUCAUGGGGACUCGCAGGCAAACACAUGAUACUUGAUUUAUUUAUAAUGUCUUCUGGAGAUGUUCUCGUGCUGAAACUCAGCAGUGUUUACGGCCAAGUGCUCGAGGGUUCUUUGUGUUAAAAAAAAAAAAGAAAAGUGUAAAAUCAGGCUUUCGGUCCUGCAAAGUGGACGUCAUCAUCCUGCCAUUUAGAGCCCACAUUGAGUUCUGAGCAACAUUUGAAUGAAGUUUUUAUUUUUUUUCCCACAUAUCACAGACUAAGAGCUCAGACACACGCGGUUCAAUAGUUUUGGAGGCUGCAUGAUUUUAUUCCGAGCAUCGGUUUGCGAGAUGUUCACAAAAUGUGCAGGAAAGCGCUGCUGUUGCUCUACAUUGUUUUUUUCUCUUCCUCCUGUUCCCCGCAGGGAUGGUAUUUAAUGGGAAUGUUGUGAGAUUUGCCAUUGAUGUAGAGAGUUUUACUUCUGUUGCUUUAGGAGAAAAAAAGUAAAAGGACUUGUGGUUU
ensembl:lncRNA